UGAGGGACGCUAGAGGUAGUAGAUGUGUCU
rnacentral:piRNA from 1 species